CCCGGUCCCAUUCCGAACCCGGAAGCUAAGCCUCUCAGCGCCGAUGGUACUGCCCUGGAGACGGGGUGGGAGAGUAGGACGCCGCCGGAC
rnacentral:rRNA from 1 species